rnacentral:lncRNA from 1 species
GUUUGUAACAAACAGCUGAAAAUGCUCACUAGAACUACUCUGUCUAUUCAGUUCACCAGUAAUUUGACUUGUUAGCCCUGAUGGCCCAUAACCGACUGUCCUGAGUUUGAGAGAAGCUUCUUCUGGCAAUUUUUGCCAAGGCAGGUGUGACGCAAGAAGAGGCUUCCAUCCCCUUCAUUGGGUAGAGUGCUCUGGACUGGAGUCAGCUUGUCUAAGGGUACAUACCUCAAACCUACUUCCUUAAGGCCACAGUUGAACCCCAACAGCAGCCAGUCAAAUUGCUCCAAGGUUCCUUAAGGCAGCUGCAAUAGGAGAUACUUAUCCAGGCCGGGAAACCUUGGGGUGUAUGUAGACACACUGUACUUGCUGGGCAUCAGCUGAAAGAUUCCACUUUAACUACAUCACAGCUGGGCAGUGGCUCCCUGAGGGUUUACUUUCUGUAUUUUCUUCAGCACAUAGUAAUCCUAAAGCCAGCACAGCUGACUCCUAUCAGAUCAUCUUGGGGAAAGGGGUCCUUGGUGCCAGACUUUCUUCCCCUGCUCUUCCUGGAGUCCAAGCAGCUGCGCAGUGAAAUUCCAUGCUGAAUCCAAUGGAGUCAAGAUCUUUGGGGAGGGGAAACCUGAAAGGAAACAACUAAUCUCCGGAGACUGUUCAUUCCUCUCGGUGUGCUGACUCCCCAGAGGUCCUGCUGACUGAAAGGAAGAUCUAAUGGAUGUUCAUUGUCUUCUGGGAAGUAAUGAAGCUCAACUGGUCACGGUUCCAGUUUGUUGGGACGUCACAUAUUCUGUGUGUCAGUGAGAUUCUGCACAGAAGUCUGGAGCUUCCCUCUCCCACCCAAAGUCUAGUCACCACAAUGCACGAAGGGGUUAUUUGAACUCCAGCCAGUGCCCUAUUGAGGCCUAUGAAAGUGUGGAGGACACUAAUAGGAUCGCUGGGAGAGCUGAUGGGGUCUGCAGCUGCUAUGAAGAACGAUACCGUAAGUUUGCAAGAGAUCCCUCGUUUCAACAGCUGCUUUUUGUGGACCAUCAGUGCUGAUCAGGAUAGAAAUUAGAAGGAGACUGAUCUUUUUCAAGCCAGUGAAUCCAGAGGCAGAUGCAAUUCUGGGACCAUAUGAGCUCCUUAAUCACACGUAGAGGGUCCUUUAAGAUCAAAGGAUGAGACCCACAUCGUGGAAGGAGCCGGUUCCAGUCUAUAUUGGACGUUACAUCAUAAUACAACUCUCUGUGG